ensembl:snoRNA Small nucleolar RNA SNORA84
GCCUGGUGGUUCCUAAAGUCAGCUGUUCAAUGCUGGUCUAUAGGUUUGUUUAGCAGGCACAUAUUGAUUCUGCGAUUUUAUGCAUGGAAGCUGUCACCAUAGCAGCAUUCCAUAGCCCGGUUGCAGAUACAUUC